AUUGAACGCUGGCGGCAGGCCUAACACAUGCAAGUCGUACGAGUGGCGGACGGGUGAGUAAUGUCUGGGAAACUGCCCGAUGGUGGGGGAUAACUACUGGAAACGGUAGCUAAUACCGCAUACCAUCGGAUGUUCCCAGAUGGGAUUAGCUAGUCGGUGGGGUAGAGGCUCACCUAGGCGCCGAUCCCUAGCUGGUCUGAGAGGAUGACCAGCGACACUGGGCCUGAGACACGGUCCAGACUCCUACGGGAGGCAGCAGUGGUGAAUAUUGCACAAUGGGCGCAAGCCUGAUGCAGCCAUGCCGCGUGUGUGAAGAAGGCCUUCGGGUUGUAAAGUACUUUCAGCGGGGAGGCGUUACCCGCAGAAGAAGCACCGGCUAACUCCGUGCCAGCAGCCGCGGUAAUAC
rnacentral:rRNA from 1 species